AUGUACCGGGGCUAAACAUAUUACCGAAGCUGUGGAUUGUCCUUUGGACAAUGGUAGGAGAGCGUUCUAAGGGCGUUGAAGCAUGAUUGUAAGGACAUGUGGAGCGCUUAGAAGUGAGAAUGCCGGUGUGAGUAGCGAAAGACGGGUGAGAAUCCCGUCCACCGAUUGACUAAGGUUUCCAGAGGAAGGCUCGUCCGCUCUGGGUUAGUCGGGUC
rnacentral:rRNA from 1 species